rnacentral:rRNA from 1 species
AAAUAACGUCCCAGUUCGGAUUGUAGUCUGCAACCCGACUCCACGAAGUUGGAUUCGCUAGUAAUCGCGCAUCUAGCCAUGGCGCGGUGAAUACGUUCCCGGGCCUUGUACACACCGCCCGUCAAGCCAUGGGAGCCGGGGGCGCCUGAAGUCCGGGACCGCGAGGACCGGCCUAGGGCGAAACUGGUAACUGGGGCUAAGUCGUAACAAGGUAGC